CUGGAAGUAACUAUUGAUAAAUCAGUAUUUCCACUGCUCAAAGCAGCACCUAAUUUGACUCAUCUUGAAUUUAAUGAGAACAUUCACGACAAAGUAGAAGAUGAAGAUUGGGAUGGUCUUAUGUUGACAACAAGAUGUUUGUUUGAACACCUCCAGUCUGCUUGUUUCAUGUUUUUUAAUGGAAAUGCGAGGGAGAUGAGGUGGUUGAAACUAAUUCUGAGGAAUGCAAAAGUUUUGCAGCGGAUAUAUACUCGAAUUUGUAAGCAGUGCAACAGAUAUGUACUCAGAUUUGUAAGCAGUGCGACAUAUAUGUACUCAAAUUUGUUAGCAGAUAUGUGCUCGAAUUUGUGAGCAGUGUGCCAGAUAUGUACUCAAAUUUAUAAGCAGUGUAGACACACACGUUUGGUA